rnacentral:tRNA from 1 species
GGCUGGGUAGCUCAGUUGGCAGAGCAGUGGACUGAAAAUCCACGUGUCGGCGGUUCGAUUCCGCCCCCAGCCACCU